GCUGUCCUCUACUGUCACCGCUGGAUAGUGCAAAGGACCAGGAGCAGACUUGUAUAAUGACAAGGCCUCGUGCAGAUGAAGUGAUUUUUCUUCCAAGGCAAGGCCCAGCUUGACAGUCUUGAUCCUACCUCCAGACACCGUAUGGUCGAUAGAUGUUUCAGAAUUAUUUUGUUCAGUAACAAAGGGCGUCUCACCUUGGAGCCCACAUUUUCUUCCUCGGGAAUGAAGUACACAGAGGUUGCAGCAUGCAGUACUUGAGACAUCUCAGGAAGUAGAAUAGCAGAGACUCACAGGCUAGGAUCUACAAGGCUAUGUCUCAUGCACUACUCUACUUCUGGACUGAGGAACAGAGCUGUCUAUCACCAGUAUCAACUGAGAAUUUCCAGGAACUUGAUUUGAGGAUGCUUGGGUCCUUCUGUCCCUGAGCUGGCCACCUGUGCCUGACAAGAGGACCAGAGAAGCUCAGCUACCAGAGGAGAGCAGGCUCUUCAGGCAGUCAUGGGGCAGCGCUUUCCGAUAGGCAGGAGGCUCCAGCUGACCACCACGAGUGCUUGACUGAAUUCUGUGCCAGAAGUUCUUGCAGAGCCACUACCAGUACAGAUCUAGGCAGGGACACAUAGGUCUCAUAGAGCCAAAGUAUGGUAAGAGCUCACUGUAAUAGUUCACUAGCUGCAGCCCAUUAUACCUGGAAUGUCUUACAAAUCUCCAUUGCUAUGUUCUGUUUUCAAGUAUUUUCUCAGUAGACUCUAUCCUCUGCCCCUUACAAUGGAAUGCAAACCCUACUCUCUGUCUUCUAAAGUGCCUGCCUUCUUCUCCCAGACAUUCUCCUCUGUCUGUUUUCCAGUACAGGGGUCAUGUCUGUAUGUAUUUGGUGUUGUAUUGUGGGAAAGAUAAAGAAGAAAAAGCGGAGAAACCCAAUGAAACACAGUUUCUAAGCCCAUCUGCAUCCAGAACAGACUACUGACAUCUUGUCAUGCCCAACCCAGCUUGUUCUUGACAUCUGCCAUGUAAUCCCCUCACACAAGGAUAUACCAGGUAUUUCUACCCUAGAAACAUAGCCUGCUUCUCCUUGCAGGUGAAGUGACAGGCUCUUCCUGUGAUUUUACCUGGGUCACAUCGAGUUUUUCUCCUAAAACUCUCCCCCGCCCCCAUUGCACUAAAACCCAGUGAUAAUAAGGUGCACAUUGCCAAAUGCUUCUCGAGGAUUUUCUCCUCUAUUUUGAGGUCACUGCCUUCAGAACCAUGUCUGGGUCCUGUCAGUGCCACAUGCUCUCUAGAGCCUUAGACAAAAGAAUUGUCUGCAGUUGGCACAAAGUAAUACUGUAUUUACUUUAACUGGUUAUCCAUCUAUUAACACACUUUAAAGUAAUAGAUUUCCUUGUUUUUUUUAUCUUUAUAACAUACAUUUACAAAGUGAUAAGCAUUUUAAUAUUCAAUGACUUCUCUUCCAUAAGCAUUUCACCCACAGGAUAAACACAGUAGUAGUUUCACAAUUUUAUUUGCAUAAUAGAUUUAGAGGCUAACAAAUAAACGGUACUGUGAACAAAC
ensembl:lincRNA 2310016D03Rik RIKEN cDNA 2310016D03 gene